rnacentral:rRNA from 1 species
GCGAAAAGUUGCAUGGUGUAGACCGAAACCCGGGUGACCUAUCCAUGGCCAGGUUGAAGCGAGAGUAAAAUCUCGUGGAGGACCGAACCACGUUGGUGUUGAAAAACCAUGGGAUGAGCUGUGGAUAGCGGAGAAAUUCCAAUCGAACUCGGAGAUAGCUGGUUCUCCUCGAAAUAGCUUUAGGGCUAGCGUCGUGUAAUUGAGUAAUGGAGGUAGAGCACUGAAUGGGCUAGGGGCUAUAGUAGUUACCGAACCCUAUCAAACUCCGAAUGCCAUAUACUUGUAUCACGGCAGUCAGACUGCGAAUGAUAAGAUCCGUAGUCAAAAGGGAAACAGCCCAGACCAUCAGCUAAGGUCCCAAAGUGUAAGUUAAGUGGAAAAGGAUGUGGGAUUUCUAAGACAACUAGGAUGUUGGCUUAGAAGCAGCCACUCAUUUAAAGAGUGCGUAAUAGCUCACUAGUCAAGAGAUCCUGCGCCGAAGAUGUCCGGGGCUCAAACUUACCACCGAAGCUAUGGGUGUACACUAUGUGUACGCGGUAGAGGAGCUUUCUGUAUGGGUUGAAGUCGUACCGUAAGGAGCGGUGGACUGUACAGAAGUGAGAAUGCUGGCAUAAGUAGCGAGAAAUAAGUGAGAAUCUUAUUGGCCGAAAACCUAAGGUUUCCUGGGGAAGGUUCGUCCGCCCAGGGUUAGUCGGGACCUAAGCCGAGGCCGAAAGGCGUAGGUGAUGGACAAUCGGUUGAUAUUCCGAUACCGCCUAUUUACGUUUGAGAAAUGGGGUGACGCAGUAGGAUAAGAUGUGCGCACUAUUGGAUGUGCGUCUAAGCAUUUAGGCAUGCUUGAUAGGUAAAUCCGUCAAGCUAAGCUGAGAUGUGAUGGGGAGCCAUUUAUGGCGAAGUAUCUGAUUCCACACUGCCAAGAAAAGCCUCUAUCGAGUGAAUAGGUGCCCGUACCGCAAACCGACACAGGUAGGUGAGGAGAGAAUCCUAAGGCCAUCGGAAGAAUUGCUGUUAAGGAACUCGGCAAAUUGACCCCGUAACUUCGGGAGAAGGGGUGCCUACGAAAGUAGGCCGCAGAGAAUAGGCCCAAGCAACUGUUUAGCAAAAACACAGGUCUCUGCUAAAGCGAAAGCUGAUGUAUAGGGGCUGACGCCUGCCCGGUGCUGGAAGGUUAAGGGGAACACUUAGCGUAAGCGAAGGUGUGAACUUAAGCCCCAGUAAACGGCGGCCGUAACUAUAACGGUCCUAAGGUAGCGAAAUUCCUUGUCGGGUAAGUUCCGACCCGCACGAAUGGCGUAAUGAUUUGGGCACUGUCUCAACAGCAAAUCCGGCGAAAUUGUAGUGCAAGUGAAGAUGCUUGCUACCCGCGAUUGGACGGAAAGACCCCGUAGAGCUUUACUGUAGCUUAGCAUUGAAUCUCGGUAUUGUCUGUACAGGAUAGGUGGGAGACUUAGAAACUUAGGCGUCAGCCUGAGUGGAGUCACCCUUGGGAUACCACCCUGACAGUACUGGGGUUCUAACCGGCGGCCAUGAAUCUGGUCACGGGACAUUGUUAGGUGGGCAGUUUGACUGGGGCGGUCGCCUCCUAAAAAGUAACGGAGGCGCCCAAAAGUUCCCUCAGCGCGGUCGGAAAUCGCGCGAAGAGUGCAAAGGCAGAAGGGAGCUUGACUGCGACACAUACAGGUGGAGCAGGGACGAAAGUCGGGCUUAGUGAUCCGGUGGUACCUCGUGGGAGGGCCAUCGCUCAACGGAUAAAAGCUACCUCGGGGAUAACAGGCUGAUCUCCCCCAAGAGUCCACAUCGACGGGGAGGUUUGGCACCUCGAUGUCGGCUCGUCGCAUCCUGGGGCUGAAGUAGGUCCCAAGGGUUGGGCUGUUCGCCCAUUAAAGCGGCACGCGAGCUGGGUUCAGAACGUCGUGAGACAGUUCGGUCCCUAUCCGUCGCGGGCGUAGGAAAUUUGAGAGGAGCUGUCCUUAGUACGAGAGGACCGGGAUGGACCAACCUCUGGUGCACCAGUUGUCACGCCAGUGGCACAGCUGGGUAGCUAUGUUGGGACUGGAUAAACGCUGAAAGCAUCUAAGCGUGAAGCCAACCUCAAGAUGAGAUUUCCCAUAGCGUAAGCUAGU